ACUACCCCCCUCUUCCCCAUUCAUUCAUCUCAGAUCUCACAUUCUCACUCCAUCGUGAACCCUAGCCCUCUGUAGCAAAGGAAUAACGUACCCAGUACCCUAGUCCAGUAGCCAUCCAUCGUUGCCGCGGUUCACAGGUCGUCAGCGCCGCCGCCGUCGCCAGAUCCUCAGCACCGCCGCUUCAACCUCUUUCCCGUGUCCGGAACCCAGUCACUCGGCAGAUCCUCUUCGUCUUCGCUGGAAGCUCAAACCCAGAACACAAGUACUUGUAGCUUUGUCUGGAACCUACACUCUUGGAAGUAAAGGUUUUGGAAGUCCAACUUCUUUUGACAAUGCAUAUUAUAAGAUUCUUUUGGAGAAGCCUUGGGCAAAUUCAGGUGGCAUGUCAAGUAUGAUUGGCCUUCCUUCAGAUCUCAAAUGCCGAUUUUGUUCUCAAAUGCUUCAAUAUUAGGA